GCCCUCACUCCUCAUUUCAACAGACUCUGGGGAGCUGACCCAAACUUGCUAAUCUUCAAGUCUGAAAACCAGUUGAUGGUUUUCAUCAUCAUAAAAUGAUCCCCUGGAGCAAAGGAAAAAAACGUUUGGUUUUGACAGUGCCUCUGGGAGAAACUCAAGACACUUUGACUCUGGACCCUCCCUGCAUUCUUUGGGGUUAAGCAGCCACAAGAAGCAAAACAGCACGAGAAAAGGCUGAGUCAGACAACAUGUAGCAACAAGCCCAGGAACUUCUCCAGGGGCCCAGGAAGUUGGAAGCCUCCCAGGUAUGUCAUAGGACAUUGUCCUUUCUUGGAACUUUGCAGGUUUCUUGAGUAUCAGCAGCAAGGCCAUCCCACCUCCACCAGACUUCUCACAGGACACGGUAUCUCUGAAAGGAUCCUAUCCACGGGGACAAUUAUCGACUGAACAGACAUUCCUGGUGAUGUAAUGUGUGUGUCCUGAAAUCCUGACCAACAACUUGCUCAUGGCUGCUGUGCCCAUGAUUUUGGCCGAGGAUGCUAUUCGGAGGGAAAAGGUGGCUUCCGCUGCGGAUGAUUUUUUUUUAAAUAAUUUUUUUUAAUAGUAGGGAAAGAAUGCAAAAUAGGAAAGGGGUAAAGAAUAGGCUUAUUAUCUAGUUAAAGUGAACAAUGAAAAUUAGGUUAGUGAUUUCUUCUCAUCAGAGCACAGAGGUCAAGUCCUGCUGUAAAUAUCACAUCCGCCUGAGAAUUAGAUUUCACAGUCAUGCUCGGUACCUCACUCAUCUCACAUAACAGAACAACAUUUCAAUGGAGCAAAAGAAGGGAUAACUAUCCUCAGAGCAUCACAGCUUUCAGGUGCUUGUGGUGCCUCGCAGUAUCACCUGCUCUUCUCUGGGGUGGUCACUUACUUUGACAUGUAUAAAUUAGAAAAGUGAUGAAAAAGACUGAAUGUGUAAAACGUUCCCAGUCAAAUCCUUAAGGAUAAUUUAGAAGAGUGUUGGGAACUGGGAGCCCCAGAAUCCCCUGAGGAACUUCACUAAGAACUGCUGCAGACAUUUGCUGGCUAGCUUCAACCUGCUCUGACCUCAGGGAACCACUCAGUAUCAGCAAGACACACCGAUUGGAGUUGAUCUCAGGCUCCUGCGUUGGCCUGAGUCUGAUGAAAAGUCAGUCGGAGGUACUGUUUUUCUUUACUUCAAAAUGACCAUGCAGUGUGGCUAUUGAAUGCUGUCCCUGGUUCUACUGAUUCCCUGGGAGAUGGAACCUCUAGAUGUAAGAGUGAUAAUGGUAGGAAGCACUGCGGAAGGACAUGACCGCCAUGCUGCAUAAAGCCUUCUUCCUGGGAAGGUGUGUGCGCUCCUGAGUGUUGCAGGAGUACAGUGAUGAAGACCGGCAGCCGGGGCUCCCCAAUACUCAGUUUAAAACAAGCAUUGAAGGUCUACUCACUGUUGAGAGUUUAAGAAAAAAGUCUCCACACUCAAUGUGACUGUCUUUGGAAUUCUUCGUUUCAUUAAGGUUCUCACAAAAUACAAAGCUCAAAUGUAACCGUCUACGUCCACCACAAAACAGAAUCAAGCUUUAUGUUGCAGACCCUUAAGUACGCGUACCUGUCGUCAGGAUGCACCGCCCACAAGCAGGGAAGGCCACCGUGGGUACAUUCCUGAGGGUGACACGCACUUAUCCAUGCUGCCUCAGCCUGUGGAAAACUAAACGAUCAGACACCCUCCGAUCAGUUCGCACAGUUUCAUUAAUUUUCUUUCUACUACGAAGUAACAACAGAAAGGGGUAAGUAAGUUCCCAGCAGCAUUCAAGCUCUCAGAAGAUCAAUCAUGAAGGGUGAGAAGGAAAAGACAGGCUUUUUCCUGGAUGGAAUUUUUUUCCUUUUAUCCAGAAAAACCCCCCAUAACCCAUAGAGUUUAAAGGCUGGCUUGUACUGAAACAUUUUUCAGAUUACAUAGUGUUGAGAGAAGGGGUGGUCUUUUCGUUGGGUCCUGAAGAAGAGGUUAAAGUGGAAAGGUUACUGUCGGAAAAAUACCACUGACGGUCCACCCUCCCACAGCAGUCAGGUCGCCGGCGAGGCCUGGGGGCAGAGCCAGGGCCCCUGCCUUGGGCACGAAGUCCGAGGGAAGGCUCUCCAGCAGACACUUGACCUGCUCCUGGCCCAGCUUGAUCUUGUCGUCCAGCUCCCGCUGUUCGAUGAGGAGUGUCGACUUCAUUUUCACAAAAUGCUGGUAAUCCUGCAGUUGCUCCUUGGAAAGGUAGUGGGCCAGGAUGUCCAGCACCACGCGCUGCCUCCGGUCCACGUUCUCCUUGAGCUCCCGGGCGUCCUCGUGCUGCGCGGCCAGGACCUUCCUCUUCUCGUUGAGAGAGCUCUGCCAGGGCGAAACAAGCAGAUCAGCAAAGGGCCAGCGGAACGGGGAAGAGAACCGACCUGCCCACAGAGAGACCUUUUUCAGGACGGUGAGCAAGCACUUAUCUGUACUUGAGAGUGUGUACGUGCAUUUAAGUGUUGAGUUGUUCCAGAAUUGAAUUCAACUUCUCUUCCGUGCACUCAGAGAAAUAAUUGGGAAAUCCCUGACAGCACUGGAAGAGAGAGCUGUAGAUAGAAGGAGCCAGAAAGCAAAGGAACCCCUGGAUGGCUGGAGCACUCAUCACCUCGGCAUAUAUAUGAAAAAUAGCUGCGUUUAUCACCUGACCUCCCUUGGGCGUUAUUGAGCUUGAUGUCCAUCAGCAGGCUCCCCUUGGCUUCCUGGAGGGUCUCAAGCUUGUGGGUGAGGCUUCCAAUCAACUCCGCCUGGAACGAGAGAGGAGACGCACAGCAAAACUUAGCCAGCUGAGUGGUCAGUGGGGGCAGGAUCCACUUCUCCCAGCUGCAUCCUUUCUGUCUUGUCUUCGAGGCUCAGCUGGAGGCCCCCCUCCACUCUGCACGGACUGCCCCCAACGUCCAUCCAUGUUGCUGCAAAUGGCAUUAUUUCGUUCCAGUCUGUCUUUUGGAGCAUCUAAUCCAUUUACAUUUAAGGUUCCAGUCUUCUUCGUCGAUGGCUGUUCAGCAGUUAGCUGUGAUUUUGGUGUUUUCGUGAGAGGAGCUAACACCCCUGGACCCUGAAGAGGGCUCUGCAAGGUUAGCUGCGGCAGUGCGCCGGGGAGGGGAGCUACGCCUGAAGUACGACCCAGAACAGGGAGGAACUGGGACAGUGACCCCACGGACCGAAGACUGUGGGGCGAAUCCCCACUAUUUUUCUCUUCCCGAGGAUAGUCCCAGCCAUGCAGAAUGGCAUGUCCGUGCAGGCUGCCGUGACACCGCAAGAACCCGUUGUCCUAUUUCUAGCCAGAGGCCCAGGUCCUGGCUCACCCUCAAGCUGCACGUGUGUGGGACAGACCCAAAGCAGCACGGCGAAGGCUUUGAGAACUGAACUGUGACAGAACAACUCACCCAAGUCCCAGGCUCAGCCCUGAAAGGUGCCUGUGUAGGACAGACACAUAUAAGACAGCAGAGGCUCUGAAGACUGAAUUGACACUGGAACCAACAGCCAGAGGUGGGACAGAACUUGUAGCCUGAACCUAACUAGGCUGCCUGCUAAAACAAAAUGAAAAAAUCAACAUUCUUCAGAGGAUUUUCAGAGAACCCGGGACUUACACCAUAACACUCAAAAUGUUCAGGUACAAUAUUACCCAGCAUGAAAAGAACCAGUAAAACGUGAGCAACUCUCAGGGGAAGACAACCAACAGGUGCUAACCCUGAGAUAACCCAAACGGGAUGAUCAAAGCCUUUAAAAUAGCUUUUGUAGCUAUGCUCCAUGGUAGAAGUAAACACUCUUCAAAUGAAUAGACAGACACUACAAAAAAUGAACUGAAUGGAAAUUUUAGAACUGAAAACUAUAAUAUUUGAAAAUUUAAAGAAAAAUCACUGGCAGAAUAGAGGCAGGAAAGUCAGUGAAACUGAAGAUAGAUCAAUAGAAAUUAUCCAAUCUGAAUGAACUGACAGAAAACAUUAAAAACAUGAACAGGACUUCCCUGGUGGCGCAGUGGUUAAGAAUCCACCUGCCAAUGCAGGGGACACGGGUUCCAUCCCUUGUCCGGAAAGAUCCCACAUGCCACGGAGCAACUAAGCCUGUGUGCCACAACUACAGAGCCUGAGCUCUAGGGCUUGUGAGCCGCAACUACUGAGCCCGCGCACCCUAGAGCCCACAUGCCACAACUACUGAAGACCACACGCUCUAGGGCCUGCGUGCUGCAACUGCUGAAGCCCACGCACCUAGAGGCCGUGCUCCACAACAAGGGGAGCCACCGCAAUGAGAAGCCCACGCACUGCAACGAAGAGUAGCCCCCGCUCACCGCAACUAGAGAAAGCCCGUGUGCAACAACAAAGACCCAAAGCAGCCAAAAUAAAUAAAUAAAUAAUCAAAAAUAAAAAAGCCUUAAAAAAAAAUGAACAAAGUUUCAGAGAUUCGCAGGACAAUAUCAAAAGGUCUAACAUUUAUGUCACUGGAGUCCCAAAAGAAGAGAAAGAGAUUAGCACGUAAAAAAAUAUUUGAAGACAUACUGGCUAAAAACAUCCUGAAUUUAGUGAAAGACAUAAGUUUACAGAAUCAAGAAGCUUAGUAAACCCCAACAGGAUAAAUCAAAGAAAGUUACGCCCAUACAUAUCAUAACCAAACUGCUGAAAAUCAAAGAUAAAAAAUUUGAAAGCAGCCAGAGAAAAGCAACACAUUGCAUAUAGGAGGAACAAGUAUUCAACGGCUGUGCGUUUCUCAUCAGAAACCAUGGAAGCAAGAAGAAAUGGGACAUUUUUAAAGUGCUAAAAGAAAAAGAAUAGUCAACCCCCCAGCAUUCCAUAUCUAGUAAAAAUUCUUUAGAAAUGACAACAGAAUAUAGACAUUCUUAGAUGAAGGAAAACUAAAAGAAUUUGUCACCAGCAGACAAAUGCUUAAAAAAAGAAAUGCUAAAGGAAGUUUUUCAGGCUGAAAAGAAGACAGACCAGAGGAAAACUUGAAACUUUAUGAAGCAAGAGCAACAGAAAUAGACAGCUGAGAACCAUCUGGGUCACUAAUGAUCUCUUGGGGAAAGCCAGUUCUCAGGAAUAACAGAUUUUUUUUGCCUUUUGAAAUAUUCCACUAAGUCUCUAAGCCAAAGCCUUUUGGCGUCCAGAAUAGAGAAUCAUGAGAUCUGGUUAAGCAGAUUUUUGCCUAAUAGAUAUGGCAGGGUUUAGCCAAAGAAUUGAAAGCCCUAAGUAUUAAACUGUCUUUAGAUUUUAUGUAUGUCAGAAGUUCAGACAGUGACUGAUUGUUUUAUAUUUUAAGUAAUACUUACGUUUACUUGGAAUAUUACAAUUCAUCAUCUAGGAUAUAUAAAUAAAAAGUAUAUUAAAGUAGAACUGAUUGGAAAUGCUAGUUUCAAAAUAUUAAUAAAUCAGGAUUCUAGUUUCCAUUGACUCUUAGUGAGUUUCACGCGUAGAAAUACAUCUUAGGUUUACUAACUUUAAACAUUAGGCAACAAAUUAUUACUUUGCAGAAGUUGGUGGAAGGCUACACUCUGCCUUAGAACCAUCUUGACCAAGCAUCAUGUUUUAAAACCAUCCUUAGGGGAAAAAAAAGCUUGUUAUAUAUUGGGAAGAGAACUGCAUUUUCAACUUCACGCUGAAUAUAUUAAUAGAUACCUUCAACAACAUCAAUUAAAGCCUGCCUAUUUUCUCUGUUUCCAGAUCAGAUAUGUAAAUGCAAGUGACACACAAAUUCUAUUACACGUUCAUAAACCUGUAGUUCAUUGAAACAAAAAAAUCUCAUAGGGUUCUCCACUGCCACACGGUAAAAUCCAAACUCUUUGGCAUUUCAGACAAAGCCCCAUGUGACCUCCAUGACCUGCCCCCGUGGGUCCUCCCAGCCUUGUCUCCUGCCAUUCAUGGCCUUUCUUUGUUAUUCUCUAAAUUUGGUAAUUUCUAAUUUAAUCAUGAGACUUUAUUUUAUAAUACAUUCCCAAAUGUAUCAGACCUCCUGGAAGUAUCUUCAAUACAUACGCGCUCCCCCUGUUUUUUCACACAACUACCUCUUCUCCCACGCUGUUCUCUUUGUCUUGAACGCCCCCUCCUUCUCUUCUUGUCCUGGCUCACUCUGAUUACUUCAGUGUAAAAUGUGACAAUAUUGGCGUCAGAGCAGUUUUGUGUAAAGAAGGUAAUAAGGCACUAAGUAAAAAAAACCAUAGCCCACAUCCGGGAUUAAGAAAUGCUUGACAAAUGGUACCUACUGUCAUUUCCCGUGAGGACUAAUCCUCUUAUUCCUUCGUGUUCUCAGGCUAAAAAUACUUCUUGCCACAUAAUCCUCAGAGUGAGAAGGUGAUAAUAAAAUGAUGAACAAGCAGUUAAAAAGUAAAAUUAAGAUGGGGAGGAAAAAGCAACAAGUAGUUUGUCACACUGCUACUGUAGAGCAGGGUAUGUCUACGUGCAAAAAACAAAACAACAAAAAACUGUAAAAUGUUCAGUUACAGAUGUCCUGGCAACUUGGUACUUACAAUGGUGUUUAUAUAGCUCCCUCUUUGGGAUAAAUAUAGACAGACUAUAGCAAUGUGGUUUUUUUCCCCCCAAUCCCAUUAAAUGGGAGCCAGGAGGCGUGCUAUGAAGCAGGCGUGUACAUGGGGAAACUGGGCUGGGAGAGCAUGCGU